rnacentral:sRNA from 1 species
AACAGCUUGAUUGGAGAGGAGAAGGCUGCCAGUGACCACAGGGGUGCAGCCUGUCCCCUGCAUGGUCCCCACGAUGCAUCAGGAGCUGGGAGCAUCUAGGGGCAAAAUAAGAAAUGAGGCCAGGACUGAGCUUUUCGUUUGCCAAUUUUGACCUGCAAAGCCUGGGGCUGCUUCCCCCUAGCACAGGGGAAGGACAGCCUGAAGGACUGUGGGGACAUGCAUCACGUCAGGUUUCCUUGGGUCCAGGGAGCAGCUCGGCUGACCGGCAGAUGAGGUUGUGGCCACCCCGCUGCUGGCUAACUGCAGCUACUUCUGCCAGCCAGUGGACUAGAGAUGGAGCAAGCAUGGAAUGAGGGUAUGGCAGGGAGCAGGAAGCAAGCCUGGAGAGGGUUAAGAGGAACAACUUCACAACAAUCAGAGGGCAAGGAGGCAUCUUCCUGGAGACAGGUAGGCACUGUGGAAUCAGCAGUGCGUAGAACAGUGAGGAAUUAGGGCUGAACCCAGCCCAGGUGGGACAAGCCCUGGCACCAGCCGACUGCAGUCUGAUGGAACUUCCCCUUCCUGCCCAGCAGAUGGCGAGCGUGUGCUGCUGGUGCCUCUUUCCAAAGGAUGUUGAAUUGUUUGACAGGUGUUCUUUACUUUAUGAAUGAAACCAGAGCAGCCCACCUUCCUGCAUCUCUACCACCAUGGCACCAUGCCCUGUGAAGGGUGAGCUGGAGUCAAAUACGUAGCAGGCAGCCAGGGUCAGUUUGUGGCCACUGCUGCCUCCUCUUCCUAUGGUCUCCUCACUGAGUGCCCCUUCCCUGUUGGGUUCAACAUGUCUAUGCUCCUGUAAGCCCUCAGCCUCCUCGUUCUCUUCCUCAACUUCUACCACCAGACACACCUGAGAGGCAAGCAAGAGAGGCUAAACUAGGAGCAGGACCCAGGGACUGAAACCAGCACAGCAUCCCCACAGAGAAUUGGGUGGAAGGCAGCAUGGCUUCCAGCUUACUGGUGCCGAGCAGAUUCCCCUGGGUCUCCAUUGUAUCCUCUGAAGGAAGGAGGAGGAUUGCCUUCUGUCCAGAUCUCAGGAUCAAACAAAUAGGUCCAACUUCCUGUGCUCACUUCAGUUAGAGCACUUCUCAUGUGACUUUGUAGCUUUGUGUGCAUCUCCUUCCUCUACUAGACCUAAGCCCCUCACUGGAAGGACUCUCUUAUUCUUGAUGUUCCCCACAUCUGGAAUUUCAAUAAACAUCUCAA